UACGUAGGGGGCAAGCGUUGUCCGGAUUUAUUGGGCGUAAAGAGCGUGUAGGCGGCCAGGUAGGUCUGCUGUGAAAACUCGAGGCUUAACCUCGAGCUGUCGGCGGAAACCAUCUGGCUAGAGUCCGGAAGAGGAGAAUGGAAUUCCCGGUGUAGCGGUGAAAUGCGCAGAUAUCGGGAAGAACACCGGUGGCGAAGGCGGUUCUCUGG
rnacentral:rRNA from 1 species